UGUCACCCAGGCUGGAGUGCAAUCAAGGCUGAGUGCAGCCUCUACCUCCUGUGCUUAAGCCAUUCUCCCACCUCAGCCUCCCGAGUAGCUGGGAGUACAGGCAUGCAUCACCAAACCUGGCUAACUUUAAAGAAACCU